GUUGGCUCCGGAGUGACAUGUGGUCUGUCUGCACGGCCAACUAAAUUCAACCUGCACUUCUGAUAAUGGAAGGAACUUCCUGAUGUUGCCUGACAGCACGACAUCAGCUGACAACUACUGGGGACGCCUCCCAGGAACGAGUGGAAGACGGGGACUGCUCCAACUGUCCUAGCACUGGCUGACUGAGGUGCGUCCGUGUGUCCUGCCACCCAAACCGCCAAAGUGUAUGAUCACCAAUUAGACGACUCAUAAUAGGAGCCUUUUGACUCUUAUAUAUGGUUGGACUCAAGGUCAAAUGGCUCCGGAGUGACACGUGGUCUGUCUGCACGGCCAACUCAAUUCAACCUGCACUUCUGAUAAUGGACCUCCCUGAUGUUGUUCUGCUGCAUGUAGCUGUCCUUAGCCUUCCUCACCUCCCGC